rnacentral:rRNA from 1 species
GGCGGAGCUAAUCCCUUAAAGACCAUUCUCAGUUCGGAUUGUUAGGCUGAAACUCGCCUACAUGAAGCUGGAGUUACUAGUAAUCGCAGAUCAGAAUGCUGCGGUGAAUACGUUCCCGGGCCUUGUACACACCGCCCGUCAAGCCAUGGAAGCCGGGGGUGCCUGAAGUGCGCUGCCGCAAGGAGCGCCCUAGGGUAAAACCGGUGACUGGGGCUAAGUCGUAACAAGGUAAC